UGUGGGAUAGCUCAGUUGGUGGAGCAUGAAACUCUUGAUCUCAGGGUUGUGGAUUUAAGCCCCAGCUUGGGCAA
rnacentral:tRNA from 1 species